CCUUUUAACUGCCAUAUUCAGUUUCUUUAAGUCAACGCAGAUUCUCACAUCAGCUGUUCGUUUGGGGACCGGAACCAUCGGGGCGCACCACUCCAUUGGUUCUGUUACUUCCUCAAUGACGCCACACUUCACCAUUCUCUCCAGUUCAGCUUUAACUUUGGGGAGCAAGGGUGCGGAUACUCUCCUCGCAGUGUUCACGCUGUACGGCACAGCAUCGUCUCGCAGGCAUACUUUAACAGGUUUUAUCUUCAACAGUCCCACAUCUGUAUCAAAUGUGCUUUGUCCAUUCUUAUCACCUGUCUCUUGGCCACUGCAACGGCUCAGCCUAAGAGGUUGCUGCAGCUGUUUGUUUUGACCACAUGUAUGAUGAACUUGUAUUGCCAGCCUUUGUACUUUGUUAAAGCUGGGAACUGUCCUAGACCAUCAAGUUUUCCUCCUGGGCUGUCAAAGUCCAUGUCAUCGCUUGCUAACUGGGGCAGGUGUUUGAGCUUGUAGUAAGUUUCAUCUGAUAUCACACUGGUAUCAGCGCCCAUAUCAACCUUGAAGGUCACAGGAGUGUCUCUGAUGGCUAGUUUAACAGUCCAUGGUGUAUUAGUGUCUGCAAUGUAGGUGUACUUUGUUUUGAUCUCGCCUAGAAAUUGUCUGCCACUGUGGUCAGCCUCCUGCCCACUGUGGUUACCUCGUUCACUCUGGCGGAGCGACACACAACAGCAAAGUGUCCAGUCUUAUGGCAGUUUCUGCACUGAGCAUUUCUGGCUGCACAUGCACAUGUAUGUUUGGGGUGAUCCUUGCCGCACCUGAAGCACUGGCCCCUGUCACUGCAUUGUCCUGGGCUCCCGGUGUGGAAACUGCCAUGUCUUUUUCCCCUUCCUCAGCGUUGUGGGGUAGGAGUUGCGCAUGUAUAUGUUUGCACCACUUCGCUGAGGUACCUAGCGUUGGUCGAGCCGGCUCUAGCCUGCUGGCUUAUUUGCCUUUUUAUUUGCUUUAUUACUGUCUCACAAUCUCCACUGCUCUUUCCAGUGUUAGGUCCAUUGUCAACUGCAGUUUUUCCGAUAACUCCUUGUCUACAAUCCUGAUGACCAGCCUAUCCCGAAUAUUCUCAAUUUUCGCCGGACCAAACUGGCAGGUCUCAGCUAGCUUGUAGAGGGUGCAGAUAUAUUCCUCCGCCUAUUCACCGUGCUUCUGCGCUCUGAGAUAAAAACGGGCCCUUUCGUGGAUAACGUUCACUUUAGGUAUGAAGUAGGUGUUCGAUUUUUCCAACACUGUCUCAUAGUCGUCAGCAUCUUCAUCCUCCGCGAACAGAAAAGUGUUGAACACCUGCUCAACCUCUUUGCCAAGUGCAUAGAGCAGCGUGUUAACCUGCACCGCUCCAUCUUCCAGUUUUAGCUUUGUAGCCAUACAGUACCUUUGAAACCGCUACCACCACUCCGGCCACUGCUCCGGUCUAGUAAAGUCCAGUUUCUCGGGAGGAUUAAACUUUGCCAUGCCCCACGUCCGAGUCGCUUUACCUCUGACACCAUGUGUAAGUUAUCUCCAAAGAAUAAUGGGCAAUGUUGCUUCUUGUUGACGCUCUUUAUUUCUCCUCUCGUGUCAUACACCAGCAGUACUUACAACUAACACUGGAACUACUUUCGCCACCAUUAUCAGUAGACAUGAACUCAGAUCAGUGCGCGCAUACACAAAACAGGCUCCUGGAUAUCACACUCAUACGACAGGUACGCCUGAAACUCGUCCAGUGAGAAACGUUCCCCGGUGCAAAAAUAAAAAAAUAUUUUAUUUUAUUUUAAUUUUUUUUGAGAUGCGUUAAUUUUUUUAACUCGUUAAUUUUUGUGUAAUUAAUGAAUCUUAAUUAACGCGUCCCAGCCCUAGUAACAACAUAUAUACAACUGUUUUGUGCAUUUGUACAGUAGCCCUUAAACCUUGAAUGCCUACGACUGGAGUCAAAUCUCAGUUUGUUCCAUGUUAUAUCCUUAUGUUGGCCCAUUUUGCCGGCCAUUAUUCAUAUGUAUGUGUAUAUAGCUUGAUCAGGCUAUAAUAAAAACAGCUGUUUUUCAAAUUAUGUCUGUGUAUUCCUGAUACACUGAGAAAAUGAGCUUGUAGUGAUCACUACCAGCUAAGCUGAACAUCUCCCAAGUCCUCUCAGCAGUGUACGCAGUACAGUUGAAUGUAUAUUGUGCUACAUUUGUAUAGUGUAUGCAUCUUUGUUAGUUUACUUGCAGGAAUAAGAAAAAAAAGUUAGCUAUACAGAAUAUUAUUUGAUCUUUUCCACCAUUAACUGCAUGGAGGUGUGCGGUUUAGGUGCCCUAAAUACCCCUAUAUUUUAAAGUGAGACAUUGCUGCGGGAUGUUCAUGUCUCUCCCUUUAACUCCACUUAACUCUGUUUACUAGAACUAAAAAAUUGUUUACCAAUUUUAUUAGGCAAAAUAAACGUCCCCGAUUACGCUUAUCCUUAAUAUAUCUACCAUAAGACUGAGGAGGCCUCCAGUGCCCAAACAUCAAGUGGUACUACUGUGAAGCUCAGCUGCAGUCCAUCAUGCUUUACUUCUCUUCUGAAAAUACCCCUGCCUGGAUAGACUUGGAAUCAUGCUCGGUGAGGCCGAGCUUACCUCUUAAAUUGUUUUUGUAUUCAGUGGAUCGGAAAAGUCUGAGGAAAAAUACAAACAACCCUAUUGUAUUAAAUAUGAUUGACAUUUGGUUUGAUACUUGUAAAUAUCUGAACAUCAAUCCCUCUUGGUCACGUUUUAGUCCUAUUUGGGGUAAUGCCAGUUUCAAACCAGGGAGUAGCGAUCCAGGUUUUCGAACAAGGGCUGAAAAGGGAUUAAGGAAAGUGCAAGAUAUGUACAGAAAAGAUGAUGUAUUUAUGUCCUUCUCAGAAAUUUCAACCAAAUAUAGCAUCCCAAAAAACAAUUUAUUUAAAUUCCUUCAAAUUAGGAAUUUUAUGUCAUCAUCUUAACACUAUUCACUGGAAAUGCCUAUUACUUUUUCAUUAGAGACAGUAAUUAUAGGACAUUGUUAUGGUAAAGGUUUAAUUUCAUCCCUUUAUGAUUUGCUCAUAUCCGGGUCCGAUGAAUCUUUAAACCAUAAGUUGAGACUGUGGAUGGAAGAUAUAGGUGAUGAAAGAUCACUACAAGACUGGAAAGUGGCAUGUAUGAAAGCUCAGAAACAAACAAUUAACAGCAACCUGAAACUUAUUAAAUAUAAAUGGCUGAUACGCUGUGACGGCCCCAGGCCUGGGUGUUGUGUAUAGUGCACUGUUGGUGGUUGUCUGUUUGUUUGUUUUGCAGGUCUGAUGCAGUGGUCAUUAGGUUGACAGGGAGCACCUGGCCAGUGUUCCCAGUCGGGCCUAUUUAACCCCGCCUUCUUUGACGCCAUCUCUCUCUGUUCGGCACUCCACGCAGCACCUUGCCAGCGUGCUGGUUUUCCUUUUGUUUGUACUUAUUUUCGCACUUACAACAUGCACUUCACAUUAACCAUUACACCCAUACACUUUCCUACACCACUGAUACUGACUUCCACAUCCCACAUGAUUGAGUUUUCCUUAUGAGUCUUAUUUACUUUAAUUAAACUUUGUUUAAUUAUUAACUAAGUUUGGUUGCACAUCUCCUCUUUUGUUGCGGCCCACGAGCCGGUCGUAACAAAUUGGGGGCUCGUCCGUCUCGAAGGUCGGUUUUUUUUUUUGUAGUUGUUUAGUAGUAGUUUUUUGUUGUUUGGUUGAGCGCUUUUGUUACGUGAGAGCACACGUCAGGUAAGUGGCGGUGCGUGAGGAAAUCCCUUAAAUCGAGAGGUUGGGCUCGCGUGUGAAAGUGACGUCAUGAUGGGGAUUCCCUUUGUCACGGAUAACGUAGUUCACCUUAUAUGGUGAGUUUGAUUGCGCGCGGGAGAUGUGCGUUUAGGUAAGUUGGUGCACCUGUGCAGCUGUACUAGGAGUCGGGGAGAAGUGGUUGUUGUUGUUUGCUGUCUCAAAUUGUGAAUAUUUACGGAGGCAUGAGAAGGUAAGUGUCGGCCCAUAUGUGUGUUUGUGUUACCUGAAGGAGUGGUUCCCCUUGUAGGUUUUAGCGGCGUCUCCCCUUUGGGUGGCGUCGUGGGGGGGUUGGUAGUGUUGGGGUACAGCGGUUAGAGCUUCCUGUUCCCUUUUCCCUAAACUGCUCGGGAGCACAUCCGUGGUUUCGGUGGGGUUGCCAGUUUCUGGUCGCCUCUCCGGGCCAGCGGGCUACUAGUGCGCAAAUACCCGCCGCUACGCCUCAUGAAGUCUAGGGGGGAGUUAGCUAGAUUCUGGUUAGGUAGAUAGCGGGGAAGCUCCGUUGGAGGCCGUGUUGGCCUGUCUGCACACUGGUCCCGUCACGUUGCAUUCUCUUGUGUUCGGUAAGUCGUAAUGGAUGACGUUGUUGAAGCGUUUGUGCAGGCGCCAACUGAAGCGUUGUUAGAUGAGUGUACGAAGGAUCAGCUGGUUAAAAUAGCCGGUCAUUAUAAUGUUGAGGUUGGCGAUAAACGUGUGAAAGAGACAGUAAAAGCAAAUUUGAAAUUCAAGUUAUUAAAAAUGAAUGUGUUGGAUGCGGGAGAGGCUGUGUCCGUCUCCGCAGGCGCCGAGGGCGCGCCUCCGCCGUUAGCAGCGCGUCCUGGCGCCGGGCUGUCUUUUGAGCGGCAGAAAGAGCUGCUAUUGUUGCGGAUGAAAUUAGAAACUGAGAAAGAAGUUGCCGUGGAAAGGGUGAGACAGGGCAUUGAGCUAGAGAAAGUGUUGUCGGCUGAAAAAAUGAGGCAGGAAACUGAGCAAGUGAAGCUAGACCUGGAAAGACAGAAAUUGGCUUUGGUUCGAGAGGGGAAGGUCGCGGGGGAUGAUGUGGUUACUGACGGUAUCUCCGGUCCAGGUGGCACCCCGGUAAGAUCGGACUUUGGCGAUUUUAAACUGGUCCCUAAAUUUAAUGAGAGAGACCCGGAAACUUUUUUUUUGCUGUUUGAACGCCUGGCUGAAGCUCGUGGCUGGUCUGAGUCGACCUGUACGUUGAUGUUGCAGUGUGUGUUAACCGGUAGAGCGCAGGAAGCGUAUUCGUGUCUCAGUAGUAGCGACAGUGUUAAAUAUGAUGUUGUAAAAUCGGCUGUUCUUAAAGUGUACGAAUUAGUUCCUGAAGCUUAUCGCCAACGGUUUCGAGGUUGGAGAAGAGGCGAUAAAUCUCACUUGGAGUUCGCUCGUGAGUUGUCAACUCAGUUUGAUCGUUGGUGCACGGCAGCUGACGUUGAUUCUUAUGAUGGUCUGCGGGAUCUUAUGAUUUUAGAGCAGUUUAAAAAUUCUGUGCCGGGUCACAUUGCCACAUGCAUAAGUGAACGUAAGGUUAAGACGGCAGCCGAGGCCGCCGCACUGGCCGAUGACUAUUUGUUAACACACGGUAAGGAUACUUGGUAUCCGGGGACGCGCGGUGGUGGCACACACAGAGAAUUUCUCAGGUGGGAGUGCAUGGUCUAGUCGCCCAGCGAAAAGUGCUUGGUUUGGUCAGAGAAAUGAACGUGGGUCCCAAGAGGCGGACAAAAUUUGUAAUUACUGUCACAAGCGAGGACACUGGAAAAGAGACUGUUUUGCUUUUAAGGCUAAGAAUAAAACUGGAGCGAGUGUGUCUCCUAAGUCAGCAAUGUGUGUGGGGCCUGUUCCUGACCGGGCGUUGAAGACUCGGGGUGUAUUGAAACCGCCAGUGGGUGAGGUGGCGGUCGCUGUGCGCCCAGCUCUGCCCGUGGAUGGCGUGACGAUGAUUUUAGGAAAUGAUAUAGCAGGGAGUCGGGUGUGGGCCGAUGUUCCACCUCCGGCCAUUGUUGCUUCAGCGCCUCUGGUCACCACUGAGCCUGAUAAAAGCGUAACAGAUUUUCCUGAGGCUUUCAGGGCCUGUGCUGUCACGCGCGCAAUGAAACGUGCGCAGUUGGUUGAGUCAGGUCACGCCGAAAAAGAUGACAGUUUACAACAGUAUGAUGUCACAUGUUUUAAUGUUCCUUGGUCUAUUUCCCACAGUGAGUUGGUGUCGGAGCAGCAUGCUGACAGUUCCCUCAAGAGUUUGCUGGACGUGGUGCGGCCUUCUGGGGAGCUUCAAGGAUCCAGUUGCUGAGGCAGUGGGAGAACGGAAGAUUGUAGGGGACAUAAGCGGUGAGGUAUUUAGUAUUAUUGCAGUUAUUAGUAUUGUGUUAGGAGUGUAGUUUUCAGUAAGUAUAGAGGUACCCUAUACAGUGAGUUUAUAUAGUGUGGCAGUUUUGGAGCCAGGGUUCCCUUUGGGGACCCUGACUUUAUGGGGGGGGGUGUGACGGCCCCAGGCCUGGGUGUUGUGUGUAUAGUGCACUGUUGGUGGUUGUCUGUUUGUUUGUUUUGCAGGUCUGAUGCAGUGGUCAUUAGGUUGACAGGGAGCACCUGGCCAGUGUUCCCAGUCGGGCCUAUUUAACCCCGCCUUCUUUGACGCCAUCUCUCUCUGUUCGGCACUCCACGCAGCACCUUGCCAGCGUGCUGGUUUUCCUUUUGUUUGUACUUAUUUUCGCACUUACAACAUGCACUUCACAUUAACCAUUACACCCAUACACUUUCCUACACCAUUGAUACUGACUUCCACAUCCCACAUGAUUGAGUUUUCCUUAUGAGUCUUAUUUACUUUAAUUAAACUUUGUUUAAUUAUUAACUAAGUUUGGUUGCACAUCUCCUCUUUUGUUGCGGCCCACGAGCCGGUCGUAACAUACGCACAUAUAUAACCCCAGUCAAAUUACGUACGUUUAAUGAUAACAUCCCUGAUACAUGUAUUAAGUGCAAUGAAGCAAGAGGAACGAUGCACAACUGCGUAUGGGAAUGUGUGAAAGUGAAAUCUUUCUGGCAAAAUAUUAUCAAUAUGAUCAGAUAUUAGAAUUUACCACUGGACCCCAAGCUUUUUCUUCUGGGUAUAUACCCAACUAUCCCACAAUUACAAAGUAAAGAAGCUAGAUUUGUAAAUAUGUGUAUAUUACAAGCUAAAUGUAUCAUUUCCAUUAACUGGAAAAAUGUUAAUGGACUAAGAAUUGGAAGGUGGAUUAAAGAGAUGGCUUCAAACAUGACAACGGAAAAGAUAACAUACAUUAUUAGACGGAAGCAACAUGUUUUUGAUGACAUCUGGAGACCUUUUAUAUGUUUUUUAAGACAUGAUGCUAAUGUUGGUAAAAUACUACAGCAGGAGGAGGCCCUGAGAGAGUAGAUAUCCAUGUGGUUUGAUAUAAUGUCCUGAGAAACACCCUUGAAAUACAUCAAUGUUAUUUUUUUUCAAUAUUUGUAAAUUUUUAAAGCAAGUGGGUGCAUAUGUGCACUGAAAAAAGUGAAACUACUGUGUCAUUCCUUUAAAGUGUAUUUUUAAAUUGGUCUAAUGAAAAAUUAUGGGUUAAUUUUGAAACCUGAUGUUUUCAGUUUGCUUCAAAGCAAAUGUCACUACCUGUGGAUAAAAUUAAAAGAAUCAUUUCUACUCAAAUGGUAUUUUCACUUCAAACCAAAAGUUUUUGUUGGCUGCCGCGGUCUUCUUGUCGUGAACAACAAGCGUCCGACGCCACAAAGCCAAGCUACUAAUGAGACAGUGCCGUUUUCUGAACUACUACAGCUGAGAGAAAAAUUCUUUUGGUCUUCUGCUGUAUGAUUAAAUCACUUCCUGCUACACAAAGGGGAGAUAGACUUGUGUGCGUACAUUCAGAGUAGCCUUUUAUACAAUAAAUGUCUCUCUUUUGUCUU